UUUUAUCGCGGUUUAUCAAGUUUUUUACAUACCGACGAUUCCGUUCCGAAAAAGUUGUUUCAUUGUAAUCUAGUAUCAAUUAUAUCACCUAGUAGAAUUCUAGGCAUCAACGAUAACCAUAAAAACAUAUAUUUUAUUUCUGCCUAAAGUAUUAUAUUGAACAUUAUUUACAAAAUUAAAGUUAUUUACAGAUUAGCUUUUGCUGGCUGUAACGAAAGUAAAUGAGACAAAAUUAGUAAAUUAUUAAAUAUAAGUGUUGUGUAAAUCGAGACUGAAAAUAUCUUUUGACACCUAAUUGUAACAACUAAAAUGGGAAUGCUUUAAUUGAAAUGUAACCUUAAAUUCCAUCAGAUGUUGUAAUUGAUUAUUUGCAAAUCUUAUCUCAUUCCCAUUUUAUUUGUGUGUCGGAUACCUUUGUAUUACAAGUUAUUGACAGAAUGAGGUGGGGGGGAGUGUCAUAGGAGAAAAAUGAAAAAUAUCAUUAUUAUUUACGGCAUAAAUAUUUAUUAUAUAUACAAUGUUUUCGUCCAAAGAGAUAAUAAUUAACAAAUCUGUGAUGUUAGAGCACAAUGCACGGCCUGCGCUUACUAUUGUAGUCCGUCUCGUCGGAUAUUUAUACGUCGUUAUCGCGCCCACGUCGCCGGCACGGCGCACAGUGGGCUGGGAUUACAAGGUUGGGUCUUAAGAACUAAAAUGUAUUUUUUUAGUAUCUAGACAUAAAUUUAAAAAGUUUUUACUCUU